rnacentral:rRNA from 1 species
UACGUAGGGUGCGAGCGUUAAUCGGAAUUACUGGGCGUAAAGCGUGCGCAGGCGGUUUUGUAAGCCAGAUGUGAAAUCCCCGGGCUUAACCUGGGAAUGGCAUUUGGGACUGCAUGGCUGGAGUGCGGCAGAGGGGGAUGGAAUUCCGCGUGUAGCAGUGAAAUGCGUAGAUAUGCGGAGGAACACCGAUGGCGAAGGCAAUCCCCUGGGCCUGCACUGACGCUCAUGCACGAAAGCGUGGGGAGCGAACAGG